rnacentral:rRNA from 1 species
UACGUAGGUGGCAAGCGUUGUCCGGAUUUAUUGGGUUUAAAGGAUGCGUAGGUGGUCUAUUAAGUCAGUGCUGAAAUAUCCCGGCUUAACCGGGAGGGUGGCAUUGAUACUGAUGGACUUGAGUAAAGUUGAGGUGGGCGGAAUUGACGGUGUAGCGGUGAAAUGCUUAGAUAUCGUCAAGAACACCUAUUGCGAAGGCAGCUCACUAAGCUUUAACUGACACUGAGGCACGAAAGUGUGGGGAUCAAACAGG